AGAGAGAGACCUUGCUUCUGCUAGUUUACUCCCUAAUUGGCUGCAAUCACUGGAGAUGUGCCAGACUGAAGCUAGGAGCCUAGAGAUUCUUCCAGGUUUCCUACGUGGGUGCAGGGGCCCAAGGACUUGGGCCAUCUUCUGCUGAUUUCCUGGGCACAUUAGCAAGGAGCUGGAUUAGAAGUAGAGUGGCUGGGACUUGAAUCCGUGCCCACAUGGGAUGCUGGUGUCAACAGGCAGUGGCUUAACCUGCUACGUCAUGACGCUGGUCCCUUUACCCCAAAUUCUUAAGUUGAAAUCCAAACCUUCAGUACUCCAGCUUGACUGUAUUCAGAGAUUGGGUCUUUAAAGAGGGAACUCAAGUUAAAUGAGACCGUGGUGGUGGGCCCUAAUUCAACAUGACCUGUGUCCUCAUAAAAAGAAGAGGUGAGUGGAGCCAGCAUUAAGGCACAGUGGUUUAAGCCACUGCUUCUGACUCCAGCAUCUUAUAUUAGAGUAUGGGUUAGAGCCCUGGCUGCUUUGCUUCUGAUCCAGCUUCCCAAUACAUCUGAGAAACAGCUGAUGGUGGUCCAAGUACUUGAGACAUUGUCAUCUGUGGGAGACCAGGAUGGAGUUCCUGGCUCCUGGCUUUGGCCUGGUCUAGCCAUGGUCAUUGUGGCCAUCUGGUGGGUGAACCAGCAGAUGGAAGAUCUCUUUCUCUGAAUCUCUCUCCCCCUCUCUUUGUUGUUCUGCCUUAUAAAUAUAUAAUUCAUUAAAAAAUAAGAGAUUAGGACACAGACAUACAUAGAAAAAUGACCAUUGGAAGACACAGGGAGAAGAUGGCCAUCUACAAAGCAAGGAAAGAGGCUUCAGAAGAAACCAACUUUGCCAACAAUGAUCUUCCAGCUUUUGGAUUUGUGAGGAAGUAAACUUCUGUGGUUUAAGUACCAUGUCUGUGAUAAUUUGUAUGGCAGCACUAAGAGGCUAAUCUGGCGGCUAUGUCAAAAUAGCCCUUGGCCCAGGAAGUGCUUUACGGUUGGUUAGUCAGCCAUCUUUCCUUUGGAGAUCUCUUGGUUUCUGGCAUCUCCCUUCUCCUUCUACUUUUCUUCCUCCUCCUCCUUCUUAAAGAAUUAUUUAUUUAUUUUUGCAAGUCAGAUUUUACAGAGAGAGAAAGAGAGAGAGAUUCCAUCCUCUGGUUCGCUUCCCAGAUGACUGCAAUGGCUGGGGCUGUGUCAGUUUCCAAAGCCAGGAGACAGCAGAUUCUUCCAGGUCUCCCCUAUAAGUACAGGGGUCCCAGCACUUGAGCCGUCUUCCAUUGCCUUCCCAGGCACAUUAGCAAGGAGCCAGAUUCAGAGUGGAGCAGCUGGGACUCAAACCAGAGCCCGUAUGGGAUGUCGGCGCUGCAGAUGGGGGCUUAACCUGCUAUGCCGCAGCACUGGCCCCUCCUAGAGUUAUUUCAAUGAUGAAAUAAAAACACACAGAAGAAUGCAGAGCUUCACAAAUGUAAGCUGCAAUUAUUAUGUCACCAUUUCCACCAAGUAGUUCCUUAGUGGGUGGAGACAAAGGGUGAUGCACUGGCGCAGGUGCCCAGAUGACCUGUGUGUAAGCACCAAACAGGACCCCACCUCCUGUGAUGCACAUGCAGGCCAGGCACUCUCUUCAUUGUGAAUGAACUCUGUUUUCUUCACUUCUCAGGGCUCCUCUUGUUCAGCUGCCAUAAGGCUCUUUGCAGGCCUGACAGCAGCAAAAUAGAUCAAGACGAAGGAGCGCUUUUAACUUGGCCUGCAGCACUGAGCUCACCUUGUCCCUCUGUCUUGCCGGAAGUUCAUCUCAGCUCACAGGGGAGAAGAACAGAAAAAAGUCUGGGCAAAUGUUCUGGGUAAUGACAGACAAUAUUUGUUUAUGGUGGUGUGCAUAUUUUGGGUGGCCUGGUAUGAGUGGAAGCAGCAGGAUAAAAAUCAAGGAUACAGAGAUCUGACACUUGUCACCUUAUUACAACCAACGCUAACUUUUUGUUGUUGUUACGGAGUUUUGUUAGAAAUAUUCUCUACAGACUGAAUUGCUGGCAUCAGUUCAUUGCUACCUAGGACAGCCUGUGCCACUGCAAGCUCCAUGGCUUGGAGAAACCCCAUCUAUAACUAAAAAAUGAUGGCUGAAUCUAUCAAUGAGAAGUCGGCAGCCAGGAAGGUCUUAUACAAGAGUACUUCAAAAAGUUCAUGGAAAGAAGGAAUCAAAAGUGAACUUUUCGAGUUACCCCUUCUAGAGGUGUGGUUCCAGGAACAGGAUGCCUCAGGCACCCAGGACAAGGGGGCUUCCAGCUGGCACCAGGCUGAGGCCCCUGGGGACAUAAGUCGUGCGGCAGUGUCGAUGAAUUGUGGCAGCGGACCUUGAUUUCAUCUCCUUUGAAAGCUUUCCCUUUUAUGUCUAGUUAAUAAAAGGCAUGGAGGAGAAAGCACCAUUCAGGUCUUGACUUUUUGUCUAAUGUGAAUCCUUACAAUUUCUCACACAGAGCUUUUAGGGGGUAGUUAUUAAUUACACACAUUAUGGAUUAUACAAUCAAUAUGCCUGAAUUCCUCUAAAUUAUCCCAUAAUUUGAUCACAGAGUAACUCAGUUAACAAGGCAGAAAUAACUUUUAAAUGAAGUCUAAUUACCACCCGACCCACCAGAUGUCAGUUUUUCAAUGCAGGUCACAGAUCAAAAGGCAUUUUUCACAAUUGCUGGGGAGGAAAGGGUGGCUGGUAAAGAAAGUUCAGCAGCCGUGGUACAUGGUUUCCCGGGGAGUGUGUUUGGGAUUUGAGUAGAGAGGUAGGAACUUCAUCUUCCUUUGAACAGUGCAGACUGGAUGGCUGUGUGUGUGUGUGUGUGUGUGUGUGUGUGAGAGAGAGAGAGAGAGAGAGAGAGAGAAACAUGUGCACUCGUCCUAUUAUAGUGUGUCUGGGACCCAGAAACUGCCCUAAGAGCUCAGAAUACAUGCUGUGCUGGACUCAAUGUCCCAUGGAAGGGACACUGUUUUGUGGUUAACAGAGGUGAAUGUGCAGUGUCUGCUUAGAGUAAAGAUCCCUGCACCUCCCCCCACUCUGCUCUCUCUCUCUCUCUCUCUCUCUCUCUCUCUCACACACAGCAAUAGGAUCAUAUGCAGAAUAUCAAGCAAUCCAGGGGGCUAUUAUCACUUUCCAACAAAGCCCCUCAGUCCAAUUUUAAGAUAAAAGGCAAAGUCUGUCUUUGUGUCAUUAAUAUUUCCCGAUGCUACAAUGCAGUGCCUCCAAUGCCAGCAACGCCCUCCUUUUGUGUCAUAAUCCUGUCUGGUGAGGAGAUGAUCUAACUUGUGAAUCCAUGCAGUCUUCUGCAAGCAAGGGUGCUUUUUAGGAAAGCUAUUUCCAUCUGAAUGAAAGCCCUGGCUGUAAACAUGUUUGUUUUCCUAAGUGGACUCCCUUGGAUACACGGACACGUGGUCUGCCUCUCAGAUUUGUGGGCUGUUUGAGAGUUACCACAUUUCAAAGAGGCCGAGAAGUGUGCUGAAGGCAUUGUGCCUGUACAGUUGCAGGCACAUGGGUCCCUUUUUAAAAUUUUUAUUAAUGUUUAUUUUAUUUGAAGGGCAGAGAGACAGAGACAGUUGGAGAUAGUCCAUCUACUGACUCACUCCCCAAAUGCCUGCAACAGCCGGUACGGGCCAGGCCAAAGCCAGGUGCCCAGACUCUAACGGGGUCUCCCACAUGAGUGGUGACAGGGACUCACCUAAUUGAACUAUCACCUGUCACCUCCCAGGGUGUGCAUUAGCAGUACACUGGAUCAGAAGUGGGGAAGCCAGGACUUGAAUUGACACUCUGAUACAGAAUGUGGCAUCCAAAGCAGAAUUGUAACUGCUGUGCCAGCAACUGCCUGCCCCAGGGGCUUGUGUUCUAAACACAGAUUUAAUACUUAAAAAAAAAAACAACCAAAAAACCCUGGGCAAGAUAAAUUGAGGGUCAAAUAUGGACGAUGACACAGUUUCCCCCAGAGUUAUUGUGAAGAUUAAAUGAAAGAUUUUAAUUAAAGUGGUGGCCCUGGGUAGGUCACAAGAACCUUCAGCUACCACAUGAAGCAUCAUCAACAUCAUCCAUCAUCACAGUCGUUCGCGUCCACUCGGUUUCACAGACACAGUAAAUCAGGUCCUGAUCCACACUGUGUGCUUAUUGCUCCUUCCCCAUUUUGUCCCGUCUUCUAAACCACGUGUCCUCGUCUAGGUGUAACCUAACCUAGCCCUCACCUUCCUCUUCCCUCCCAGAGUGCACCUCAGUUCCAUUCUGUGGUUGCUUAGCAACUGUUUGCUGCCCUAUUUUUAAACUUUCCUUCUCUCUGCUUUUUCUCCCCAGAGAAGGCUCUGGAAGGCAGGAAGUUGCCUCAUCCUUGUAAAAGUCUUUGUCCCUUCCUCAUCGAAUGGAGUCCAUAUAAUAGGAGGUCAAUAGUUUACUUGAAUGAUGAAUAAAAACAUGUGUAAAUUGACAUGUAUGUUCAUGUUGCUGACAUAUGUGGAUAUGGAUUCACAGAAAAAAGUGUAAAAAUUGGGAAAGGUCUUUGAACUCCUUUCUUUCUUUCUUUCUUUCUUUCUUUCUUUCUUUCUUUCUUUCUUUCUUUUUGUUUUUUAGAGGCAGAGUUAGACAGUGAGAGAGAGAGACAGAGAGACAGAGAGAAAAGUCUUCCUGCCGUUGGUUCACCCCCCAAAUGGCUGCUGUGGCUGGCGUGCUGCGCCAAUCCAAAGCCAGGAGCCAGGUGCUUCCUCCUGGUCUCCCAUGGGGUGCAGGGCCCAAGCACUUGGGUCAUCCUCCACUGCACCCCUGGGCCACAGCAGAGAGCUGGCCUGGAAGAGGAGCAACUGGGCAGAAUCUGGCCCCCCAACCAGGACUAGAACCCGGUGUGCCGGUGCCACAGGCGGAGGAUUAGCCUAGUGAGCCACGGUGCUGGUCGAACUCAUUUAUUUCGUCUUGAACAAUAGAAAGACCUAGACCCAAAGAAACGAUGGACACUUGGACCCAAGUGUGUUCCUGUUGUCAAAUCUGCCCCAUGUUUAGCGAAAGUCUGCAUAAUAUCUAUAGCAUUUCAGGCAUGACUACAUAAUAUUUCUAUUGAAGCAUAUUGGGUUCUUUGUAUGUGAACUGCGAAAAAGUAUUCCUGUAAAAGCAUUAUUUUAGGGAUUUUAAACUUCUUUUUUAAAGAGAUUUUUAUUUAUUUAUUUGAAAGUCAGAGUUACACAGAGAAAAGGAGAGGCAGAGAGAGAGGGGUCUUCCAUCCAUUGGUUCACUCCCCGGAUGGCUGCCACGGCUGGAGCUGCGCCGAUCUGAAGCCAGGAGCCAGGAGCUUCUUCCGGGUCUCCCACGCGGGUGCAGAGGCCCAAGGAUUUGGGCCAUCUUCUGCUGCUUUCCCAGGCCAUAGCAGAGAGCUGGAUCGGAAGAGGAGCAGCCAGGUCUUGAACCGGCGCCCAUAUUGGAUGCCGGCGUUUCAGGCCAGGGCGUUAACCUGCUGCGCCACAGCACAGGCCCCAGGAAUUUAAAGCUUUUAAAAUCAGAAACUACAAUGUAAUGUCCUUUGUGUGCUCCUUAGCGAGGGGCCUUCCAGAGACCUGCCCUGUUUCCAUUCUCUCUUUCCUUCCUUUUCUUUUCCUUCCUUCCUUCCUUCCUCCCUUCCUCCCUUCCUCCCUUCCUCCCUUCCUCCCUUCCUCCCUCCCUCCUUCUUUCCUGUUUUGUUUUGUUUUGUUCAGGUCUUCUCCCCUCCUCAUGGAACUCAGAGAAAGAAAGAACUCAGGUCAAAGGCUCAAGGCCAAUGAGAGUAAUGUGAAGCCAGCCAGCUGAGGUGGGUAUGUUUCAGUCCUGUUAGUCCUCUGACCGUGGAGCCAGGAGGAGCAGUCUGUCUGAUGAAUGGGAAAGCUCUUCCUCCCGCUGCGGGGAUCCUCCCGGAACCAAUCAUUCUUCCCCACUGAAUGUGAACCAGGAGCAUCAUGCAGCCCAGAUUCCUAUUGGAAGCAAACUAAUUCCACGAGAGGACCCAGGCUGAGGAACCAGAACACGACAACACCGAGGCCAGCAGAGCACGCCGUGAGAACACAGCGCUUUAUGAUGUGGUUCCGCUGGGCAGCAGCUCCACCACCCAGGGACUUCCCACUCCGUGAGAUGCCCACGUCAGCUUCUGUGGUGCUCUGGGACCUGCCCAACGUUCCAAAAGAUGCACUCAAGGGUAGAUAGUUCCUGGCAAGUACAAACUGGCUUGCUGGCAGGCAAUAAGUGUGAUAUCAGCUGUAAUAAAAUUAAAACCCUGGUAAACC